GUUUCUAGGAUGGAAUUUGGAAAAAAUACAAGCUGUAUUGACAGAAAAGUGCAACGAAAGGGGGAUAGAGGUGUUGCCUUUCAGGAAGGACCACAUUCUAUACAGGUGGCUGAUACACAUUCUGGUCCAGAUAACAGCCUUCUCUCUGUAGGCACUGCUACAUUUCUCUAGGCAUCCCAGGCUGCUGUCACGACUGAAGAACACAUCUUUGUUGUCUCCAAAGCUUAUAUAACAUCACUGCUCGCUAGACUUGCUCGGGCUCUGUGUGCUGCUUCACGGUCAGCAGAGCCAAGAUGCAACAGUAAAGAUGAAAAUAUAUGCAAAUAUCCAUGUCUGCAUCUGUAGAAUGUUUGGAAGGGACCAAUAGGCAGCUGAUGAGACAGGGGACCUAUACAACCUUUUUGGUCUCAGAGAGAGAGGGGUCUGAGGCAGUCACUCUUAAGUGAACUCCAGCUCGGCAAACAAAGAAUGUCAGAGAUUUUCACGCCAGUUUUGCAAAUUUAUUCGCCGCGGAGAAUUCACACCUGCCGAAUUUAUUUGCCCAUUGCCUUAGGAAGUGUGGUGUGCCACGUGAAAUGCGUAGAGGAUUUUAGAAGUUUUCAGGAUUUUAAAGACUUUUGAUUUCAUGCUUUUAUGAAUAUCUGUUUGUAAUUAUCUCAUUUUGGUUUCUAUUUAUUUCUUAUUAAAAUGCUAUUACACUA